UACGUAGGUGUCGAGCGUUGUCCGGAUUUAUUGGGCGUAAAGAGCCCGCAGGCGGCUUGGCAAGUUUGAGGUGAAAUCUCCCGGCUCAACUGGGAGGGUGCCUUGAAAACUGCUAGGCUUGAGGCAGGGAGAGGGAUGUGGAAUUCCAGGUGUAGCGGUGAAAUGCGUAGAUAUCUGGAGGAACACCGGUGGCGAAGGCGGCGUUCUGGACUGCUACUGACACUGAGGAACGAAAGCCAGGGGAGCAAACGGG
rnacentral:rRNA from 1 species